GGAAGAUAAGUGGCCAUUAGACAAAUGGUGAAGAGCUCAAACUUCAGCAAGCAAAAAAUGUUUCCGGUUACCAGGAUCAGUCUUCCUUAAGAAGGAAGCAGACCAUUAUAAAUAACAAAUAUUUUCCUGUCACAUGUUCAAAUUCAUAAUGAGGGAUUUAUUAGCUGUGUGGAAUAGACCAAUUUUCUUUCCCCAGAGAGGAGCAGCUCUGAGUUAACUGACACAAUAUUGCAGGCUUAUUUAUGUGAUAGUUUAACACCUUUAGAGGUUGGUGCCUCUGGCACCUCGUCUGUUCUUGGUCCUUCCUU
rnacentral:lncRNA from 1 species